rnacentral:rRNA from 1 species
UACACUCCUGCGGGAGGCAGCAGUGGGGAAUUUUGGACAAUGGGCGAAAGCCUGAUCCAGCCAUGCCGCGUGCAGGAUGAAGGCCUUCGGGUUGUAAACUGCUUUUGUACGGAACGAAACGGCCUUUUCUAAUAAAGAGGGCUAAUGACGGUACCGUAAGAAUAAGCACCGGCUAACUACGUGCCUGCAGCCGCGGUAAUACGUAGGGUGCAAGCGUUAAUCGGAAUUACUGGGCGUAAAGCGUGCGCAGGCGGUUAUGUAAGACAGUUGUGAAAUCCCCGGGCUCAACCUGGGAACUGCAUCUGUGACUGCAUAGCUAGAGUACGGUAGAGGGGGAUGGAAUUCCGCGUGUAGCAGUGAAAUGCGUAGAUAUGCGGAGGAACACCGAUGGCGAAGGCAAUCCCCUGGACCUGUACUGACGCUCAUGCACGAAAGCGUGGGGAGCAAACAGGAUUAGAAACCCCUGUAGUCCCAUGA